CGGCGGGGCCGUGAGGGGCGGGAGCGGCCCCGCCCCCUCAGUCCGAAUCCAGCCGGGACAGAGCCCAGAUCCAGCCGGGAAGCAGCCAGACCCCACCGCCCGACCCCACAGAGGCGCGGAACGGUGCAGAGACGUUGGGCACUUCGGAGAACUGGGUGGCAGAAAUUGUUUCACAGAUGCCAAAUAAUUCAGCUAAGGAGUCAGUCUGUACAUCCAUCCCUCAUUGCUGCAGCCUGCCCCAGCAUGCAGGAAUGGCCCCAAAACUCAAUACUGUACUUAGAAGAGAAAAAAACUAUUACAGAAAAAUACUUCAAAAAAGAAAUAUACCUUUAGAGCUGUAUACGUUAAAAUGUUUGUUCUGAGCUCUUAUGUAGGGGAUCAGCAUAGAAAAUUUACUUUUGCUAAAACAUCAGGAACUGAGAGAGGAGAAACUAACUGUAGCUUUUCCAAUUCAUGGAACUUAAAAGGUAAUUUAUCCUCUUCAAUACUUCCCUGUGGCACACUGCUUCCAGCGUGGACAAUAAAAGCACCUUGUUUCCAUGGCUUGUUAAAAAGGUAAUUAUUACAUUUGAAAGAAACUUGCACGAAGAGAACUUAACUGAAUGCAUUUUAGACAUUGGGCUGUGCUUUCCCCACGCUGCACUGCUGUUCUACAGACAGGGAUGGUUAUUGCUGCUUCCCAGAUGCAAUGGAAACAGUGAAACAUUUGGGGCAAAGAAGUAUUUUACUGUUUGUAAGGCAAUGUGGGUCUGUUUGAGGUCCUGUAGAGCAAAGUCUUCUCUCUCUGACUAGAAUUUUAUGGACUUUUGAGAAGCAACUCAGCCUGUGCAGUUUGCCUUGGCAGCAGGAUCUGGAGGGAUCACCUGUUCUCCGAGAUGUAGGCUGGUGUUCCAUUGCUCACUCAUUAUGGAGGGUGAGCUGGAGGAGAGCCUGUUAGUGCUCUCCACUGGGAUGCUUUUCUGAUAAAUAAUGCAAACCUUCAAAGCUGUGUCAUGCCGAGGCCACAUUAACAUGCCAAGCACAGCCACACAAACCAGAGGCAGCUUGUCUGGGGCUGCAGUGGUUCCACAUGUCCAGCAGCGCUAAAGCUGCACACGGGGCAUUUUUCACCCACAGCCUGUGCUGGAUCACAUUAAUAACUAAACAACUCAAAUAGGUGAAGUGCUUCCAGAAUCAUCCAUUCUACUGUCUGCAGCACUGCAAACAGUGCUGGGAUGAAACAGUAUUGUGCACAAGGUCUAGGGUGAACUCUUAGGGCCGUUUCAUGUGAUGGAUACCUGAUGUAAGUUCCUUAACCUCCUUGGUGGCUGGAAUCACAUCAGCCCUUGUAACCCAGGUGUCUGCAGAAAGAGCACCUGGUGUGUCCUGCUGUGCACCAGGGUGUGUCUGCACCUGAGCCAACUGGAACUCGCACGUGAGGUCGGGUCUCCCACCAGUGCACAGGGUGGUGUGAUAUGGUGUGUAUGGAAAAGGGAAAGAGGA